UCCAGGGUAGCCGAGUGCACAAGGCACCUGCCCGGUAAGCAGAAGGGUGUGGGUAUGAUCCCGCCCCUGGAC